ACUCCUACGGGAGGCAGCAGUGGGGAAUAUUGCACAAUGGGCGCAAGCCUGAUGCAGCCAUGCCGCGUGUAUGAAGAAGGCCUUCGGGUUGUAAAGUACUUUCAGCGGGGAGGAAGGCAAUACGGUUAAUAACCGUGUUGAUUGACGUUACCCGCAGAAGAAGCACCGGCUAACUCCGUGCCAGCAGCCGCGGUAAUACGGAGGGUGCAAGCGUUAAUCGGAAUUACUGGGCGUAAAGCGCACGCAGGCGGUCUGUCAAGUCGGAUGUGAAAUCCCCGGGCUCAACCUGGGAACUGCAUUCGAAACUGGCAGGCUUGAGUCUUGUAGAGGGGGGUAGAAUUCCAGGUGUAGCGGUGAAAUGCGUAGAGAUCUGGAGGAAUACCGGUGGCGAAGGCGGCCCCCUGGACAAAGACUGACGCUCAGGUGCGAAAGCGUGGGGAGCAAACAGGAUUAGAAACCCUGGUAGUCCCA
rnacentral:rRNA from 1 species